UAGACCAAUGAUAAUGACCACUGGCAUGUGAGUCAUUAUAGGUGAAUAAUAGGUGUCUGAGACUUUGAGGUCAAA
ensembl:snoRNA SNORD114-2 small nucleolar RNA, C/D box 114-2